rnacentral:rRNA from 1 species
UACAGAGGGGGCAAGCGUUGUUCGGAAUUACUGGGCGUAAAGGGCGCGUAGGCGGCCUUCUAAGUCGAACGUGAAAUCCCCAGGCUUAACCUGGGAACUGCGUCUGAUACUGGGUGGCUUGAGUUCGGGAGAGGAAUGUGGAAUUCCAGGUGUAGCGGUGAAAUGCGUAGAUAUCUGGAGGAACACCGGUGGCGAAGGCGGCAUUCUGGACCGAAACUGACGCUGAGGCGCGAAAGCCAGGGGAGCAAACGGG